rnacentral:rRNA from 1 species
AUUCCAGCUCCAAUAGCGUAUAUUAAAGUUGUUGCAGUUAAAAAGCUCGUAGUUGAACUUCUGGCUAUUCUUCCAGCUGGCUUCGGUCGCUGUAAGAGUGGUCAUCCGCUUGGGAACUACGUUCGAACUUCACUGUUCGGCGUAAGGAACAGGCAUUUUACUUAGAAAAAAUUAGAGUGUUCAAGGCAGGCUAUCGCCCUGAAUACACAAGCUUGGAAUAAUGAAAUAGGACUAUUUCCAUUUUAUUGGUUAUUGGAAUUAGUAAUGAUUAAUAGGGACAGUUGGGGACAUUAGUAUUUAAUUGUCAGAGGUGAAAUUCUUGGAUUUAUUAAAGACUAACUUAUGCGAAAGCAUUUGUCAAGGAUGUUUUCAUCA